AUUGAACGCUGGCGGCAGGCCUAACACAUGCAAGUCGAGCGGUAGAGAGAAGCUUGCUUCUCUUGAGAGCGGCGGACGGGUGAGUAAUGCCUAGGAAUCUGCCUGGUAGUGGGGGAUAACGUUCGGAAACGGACGCUAAUACCGCAUACGUCCUACGGGAGAAAGCAGGGGACCUUCGGGCCUUGCGCUAUCAGAUGAGCCUAGGUCGGAUUAGCGAGUUGGGGAGGCAAUGGCUCACCAAGGCGACGAUCCGUAACUGGUCUGUGAGGAUGAUCAGUCACACAGGAACUGAGACACGGUCCAGACUCCGACGGGAGGCAGCAGUGGGGAAUAUUGGACAAUGGGCGAAAGCCUGAUCCAGCCAUGCCGCGUGUGUGAAGAAGGUCUUCGGAUUGUAAAGCACUUUAAGUUGGGAGGAAGGGUUGUAGAUUAAUACUCUGCAAUUUUGACGUUACCGACAGAAUAAGCACCGGCUAACUCUGUGCCAGCCGCCGCCGUAA
rnacentral:rRNA from 1 species